AGUGAACGCUGGCGGUAGGCCUAACACAUGCAAGUCGAACGGCAGCACAGUAAGAGCUUGCUCUUACGGGUGGCGAGUGGCGGACGGGUGAGGAGUACAUCGGAAUCUACUUUUUCGUGGGGGAUAACGUAGGGAAACUUACGCUAAUACCGCAUACGACCUACGGGUGAAAGCAGGGGAUCUUCGGACCUUGCGCGAUUGAAUGAGCCGAUGUCGGAUUAGCUAGUUGGCGGGGUAAAGGCCCACCAAGGCGACAAUCCGUAGCUGGUCUGAGAGGAUGAUCAGCCACACUGGAACUGAGACACGGUCCAGACUCCUACGGGAGGCAGCAGUGGGGAAUAUUGGACAAAGGGCGCAAGCCUGAUCCAGCCAUACCGCGUGGGUGAAGAAGGCCUUCGGGUUGUAAAGCCCUUUUGUUGGGAAAGAAAAGCAGCAGGUUAAUACCCCGCUGUUCUGACGGUACCCAAAGAAUAAGCACCGGCUAACUUCGUG
rnacentral:rRNA from 1 species